rnacentral:siRNA from 1 species
GGUGAUGUCGAUCCCGAAGCUGAA